ACACACACACACACACACACACACACACACACACACACACACACACACACACACACACACACACACACACACACACACACACACACACACACACACACACACACACACACUCUGUAAUAUAACCGUCUGGUCAGCACACAGCAGUGAUUUACUCAGGGUAAUAAUGCAUGCCAAAUAACUCCAGGCCUCAGCUAAACACCAAAUUAUUGACUUAAGUUCUUGAUGAAUUGUAACAUUUGUAACAUUUGAAAAGCACAUUUACUGAAUAACAAGAAAAGCAAAAUAUUCCAUUAGUUUCACUUAAGAAAACAGGCUUGCACUUUAUUUUAUAGUAUGUGCACACACUCACCAACAGAAAGCUAGUACCUGGCUAUUACUGGGUUAUCAUUAAAGCACACAGUAUGUACGUGCAGAACAGGACUGUAAAAUAAAGUGCUUCUAAAAUCAUCAAAUAUCAAACACUUCACCAUUGGUCUGUUAUGCUACUACAGUUUCAUUUAAAUGAUAUUGAUCUCAUGACCUGCAUGACUUCUAGCUUAUAUUUAUAUUUUUUGUAUGUACUAAACAACUGGUAUAAAUAUAAUUCUGAACUACAAUAAAGAAAACAAUUUUGGUUUUAUUAAUGAAA